rnacentral:lncRNA from 1 species
AAUUUUCUCCAUUAAAGUAUGGUUUGUCCCCCAACUCCCCUUCCAACACCUUCAAACAAUUUAUGAAUUCUUUAUUGGCUGUUUCAUGUACUUCCACUUUUGAGCUCCAAAUUUUCAUUCCAGCAUCAUAGAUCUGCAUUGUCCCAAAAAUUUAGAACAAAAAAAAAAAGAUAACAUCUUAUUCAAUCAAAUUUAGCCCAUCAAAAUAGAGGAAAUUUCAGAAAUAGCAGUAUUUCGAGCCCUAAUUAUCGAUAAUAGUGAUAGUUUGGCUAAUUACAAAACGUAGCAAUAAUUUACUUGUUUAAAAAAACCUCGUGAUACAGUACAUUAAUUUGAUCUACAUCAAUAUAUCUUUCUUUGCUCUGUAUCCGUUUAUCGAUUCAUUCUGUAAUUAUUGUAUUUGUUACUUCGUAUCGACGAUUUGCUAUGUAUCAAGACGAAUAGAUACAAAGUGAAUUGACACACUAAUACAAAGCGAAUCAAUACUGCUUUUAUGAUACAACAUCAACAUAUUCAGUGUAUUCCCACAAAGUGAGGUACGAGGAGGGUAAAAUGUUUGCAAUCCAUACCAUUAUUCGGCUUUUUCUGAUAAACAUAGGCUCAGAACAAAUAAAGGUAUAAGAAAAACAUAAAACAACAAACAAAAAGGAAUACCACACCAAUAGCAAAUAAAAGGAAUAGAACACAAAUAGAGUAAUGCGAUAUACAGUCUACCCUAAUCCGCUAUCACCGUACCUUUUUAUCUAGGAUCAUGUACUCAAUAAGCUAUAGUUACUCUAUGUCCUGAAUUAUCACCUUCUUUCAAUAUUUCUUAGACCUACCUCUAUCCAGAGGCGGAGCUACCCUUCAAGUAGGGUCAUCUGAAAGCCCUUCGUUGAAAAAUUAUGUUAUAUAUACAUAAUUAAAAUUAAUUUUUAUGUAUAUAUAAUAAAUAUUAAACCCCUUCGAUUAGUUUGUAGAUUCACCUUUACUAAAAAUACUCUGCCACUACCUUUAUCCCAUCUCAACCAUCCAUAGCCAAUCCCUCCGAUUAUGCUUUUAUAAUAAAUAAAAGAAAAUGUUUUUACUACCUUAAUUUAAUAAUUAAACAUAUAACAAAGGAACAAAUAAUCAAAUAAAAAAUGAUUUUGACUUGGAUGGAUUAGUUGAAUUUUUUUCCCUUUUAUAAUACAAAAAUCUUGAAAUUUGGACCAAAAAGCUUAUCUUAGUGAUAUAUACAUACCUUUUUUCCAAUAUAAUCAGUCCAAAACCUAGCAUGAGCUCUCUUGUAAGGAUCAGAAGGUAACAAAGGCGAUUUGUCCUUCCAAACUUCAUCUAUAUACUCAACAAUUAUGUGUGAUUCACAUAUUGGUUUUCCAUUGUGGAUCAACA